rnacentral:rRNA from 1 species
UACGGAGGGUGCGAGCGUUGUCCGGAAUCAUUGGGCGUAAAGGGCGCGUAGGUGGCCUGCUAAGCGUGCGGUGAAAGCUCGGGGCUCAACCCCGAGUCGGCCGUGCGAACUGGUGGGCUUGAGCACUGUAGAGGCAGGCGGAAUUCCGGGUGUAGCGGUGGAAUGCGUAGAGAUCCGGAAGAACACCGGUGGCGAAGGCGGCCUGCUGGGGACAGU